UGAAAUGAGCCAGUUCCAGUCAGACUAGAUU
rnacentral:piRNA from 1 species